rnacentral:sRNA from 1 species
AUCAGCGGGCCCCUUGGCAUGCCUGGGACAUGACUAUAUUUUACUUUUACGAAUUUAAACAACCCCACGUAGGGAAUGUCUACCGUCUUGGAUGGCAGAGUUCGAUGAGAAUUUACCCGCCCUCAGAGUAGCAUAGCCAGUGGCUGAAUUUGAAGCAGAGAAACACGUAUUUAAGAAAAUACUCCAUACUGGCUUAUCAUUCAUAAUUAAUGGCUCAUUAAUCAUUUACUCAAUAAGCAGUCUACUGGAACACUUAUGUGCCAAACACUCGCUGAGCUCUGGGAGCGAAGCCGUGUGACAUGCUCAUGUCCUUUACAUUUCUAGUGGGUAAGUUCACAGGGAGGAGCACACAGCAGUGAGUGUACUCUGGGCAGUGCACCUACGGACAGAAAACACCACAGGAAGUACCCUUAAACAACAUUUUGCUGAAAGACUUUUAUUUCCUGCAGUGAGCACAAUGGAUGUGGUAAUAAUCUGUGAGAGCAAGAAAAUGCUUCUGCUGUUUUAGGAUCAAAUGGGAGUUGACACAUCCAACGCACUAUGGAAUUCAAGUCCCCCCAUCUACCAUGGCUUCUGCUGUGGGUCAGCAGAUCACAUCUGUGACUCUGAAAGGGCUGUCUCUCCAGAUUCCAGGACAUCAGUUUGCCCUCUGACCACAAUUCUCUGACCUGAAGAGACUCAAAGGACAGGUAGAUAAUACAAGGCUGUGAAGUCAGUGGGACCACAUCACAAAGGCAUUCAAGUCCACGAGCCAACCUAGAAGCAUGUUGCUGGACUCUUCAUCGAGGGCUUGGAAUACGGCUUCCUUUCCCGGCCUAUGUGCUUAUGCCCACAACCGCCCCUCUUCAUCGCCUACUAAAGAGGAGAUAAUAGCAUUCAGCCCGCAUACAUCACCAGGUGGUUGCAAUAAUUUAAUUUUCCAAUAUCUAUAAAGCAUUUGACAACUAUAAAUCACUGGAAAACAGCAAACAACUUAACCCAUAUCGAGCCUUCCUUAUGGCCCCAUGUUUAAUUUAUGCGGUCUCUCUCGGAACUUAGGGACAUGCAUUUCAAUCUAUUUUCGGGAAUUCGACUUAUCGUUUUCUGUUGGGAAAAUACACCCUUUCCCUGCCAUCCUAACGUAUUGAGAGUGUGGCUUAUGGGAUUGUUGACCGGCUGUCUGUAGCAAAUAAAAUCUACAAAUAUUUACUAGCUGCUGAGCAUGGUCUUGCC